rnacentral:rRNA from 1 species
GAUGAACGCUGGCGGCGUGCCUAAUACAUGCAAGUCGAGCGAACAGACGAGGAUCUUGCUCCUCUGACGUUAGCGGCGGACGGGUGAGUAACACGUGGAUACCCUACCUAUAAGACUGGGAUCACUUCGGGAAACCGGAUCUAACACCGGAUAAUAUAUUGAACCGCAUGGUUCAAUAGUGAAAGACGGUUUUGCUGUCACUUAUAGAGGGAUCCGCGCCGCAUUGGCUAGUUGGUAAGGUACCGGCUUACCAAGGCAACGAUGCGUAGCCGACCUGAGAGGGUGAUCGGCCACACUGGAACUGAGACACGGUCCAGACUCCUACGGGAGGCAGCAGUAGGGAAUCUUCCGCAAUGGGCGAAAGCCUGACGGAGCAACGCCGCGUGAGUGAUGAAGGUCUUCGGAUCGUAAAACUCUGUUAUUAGGGAAGAACAAAUGUGUAAGUAACUAUGGCCGUCUUGACGGUACCUAAUCAGAAAGCAACGGCUAACUACGUG